rnacentral:hammerhead_ribozyme from 1 species
GUACUGAUGAAGAGUCCCAAAAGAGAACGAAACAGCUGUCUAGUAC